UAUAAAGAUGAGUUCCGAGUCAGUACCUCCCAUGAGGAUAUACUGGCCGAAAGGGUAUGAAGAGUAAUUUUCAUGCCUGCCUUGUGCAAAGGAAGUCUGUAUUCAGACUU
rnacentral:ncRNA from 1 species